GAUGAACGCUGGCGGCGUGCCUAAUACAUGCAAGUCGAGCGAAUGGAUUAAGAGCUUGCUCUUAUGAAGUUAGCGGCGGACGGGUGAGUAACACGUGGGUAACCUGCCCAUAAGACUGGGAUAACUCCGGGAAACCGGGGCUAAUACCGGAUAACAUUUUGAACCGCAUGGUUCGAAAUUGAAAGGCGGCUUCGGCUGUCACUUAUGGAUGGACCCGCGUCGCAUUAGCUAGUUGGUGAGGUAACGGCUCACCAAGGCAACGAUGCGUAGCCGACCUGAGAGGGUGAACGGCCACACUGGGACUGAGACACGGCACCGACUCCUACGGGAGGCAGCAGUAGGGAAUCCUCCGCAAUGGACGAAAGUCUGACGGAGCAACGCCGCGUGAGUGAUGAAGGCUUUCGGGUCGUAAAACUCUGUUGUUAGGGAAGAACAAGUGCUAGUUGAAUAAGCUGGCACCUUGACGGUACCUAACCAGAAAGCCACGGCUAACUACGUGCCAGCCGCCGCAGUAA
rnacentral:rRNA from 1 species